rnacentral:misc_RNA from 1 species
AAAGUCGUAACAAGGUUUCCGUAGGUGAACCUGCGGAAGGAUCAUUAACUUAUUGAAAUGGGUGCCCCACCUUGCCGCCGCUCGAGGGUUUCGGCUUGGCUGCGCUUGACGCAGUGUUCUGUGGCGUCCCUCCAUUCUUGUCUUCCACGUCCUUGUUGCUUUGGCGGGUGUUCUUGACCGAACCGCCGGGGGCCUGUCCCCUAGUGUAUGCCCGUCAGUAGCCCAUCAAAAUUCUGAUCAACGUGUCUGUCUUAGUCUAGAAGAAUAACUAUAAAACUUUCAACAACGGAUCUCUUGGUUCUG